rnacentral:lncRNA from 1 species
AAAUAAGGAGGAGCCCCGGACCAGGAGGGGCAGCGGCCGGAGAAUCAUCAGAGCGUGCAGAUCGACAGGGAUGGGUUCGAAACCGAAACACCGAAACCAACGAAAAAUGGGGGGAAAUAAAAGCAAAGGUCUGGAGAUGUCUGGCGGCCACGAGGGGCGGGCAGCGGGCCGGGACUCUUACCAUGGCGAGGGGAGCCGCUGGCCCGCGAACCUCCUUCUCGCGGCCCCUUAUCGUGGGCAAUUUGACGCAUGAUUAUCGCGUCUAUGAAGGUGGCCGCUGUCAGGGUGGUCUUACCCAGAGAACGGAGCUCCAGUCCCUGGAUGGAAAAGGGUUUACUUUGAGUCUUUCCCCGGUGCGGGUCGGAGGCCGAGGUGGGCGCCGGCGGGUCCGGGCUGGCGUGGGGUGCGAGGGGCCGGGGCUCGCAGCUCUUGCUGGGGGAGGAGGCGGCCUCCCGGGCAGGGGGCUUGGCGAGGAAGGCAUGGCCGGUGUCUGCUCGCGGCCGCUCUGUCCGGGCGGCCCGCGGGGCCUCCUUGGGCAGCAGGACGGGCUCCACGAGGGUGGGGUAGGCCCCAUCCAGAGUGCUACCCAGCGGGCAGUGGGCGGUGGGUGGGAAUGAGGCAGCCAGGCGGACAGGAGAGGAGGUGGAGGUGGACCUGGGGGAAGAGAACGGGGUCAGGCGGCCGCCGACGACCCCGGACACGAGUCCCCACUGCCCAGGACCAAGGGACGUCCGGAUGCCCCACUGCGCCCGGAUACGUCUGCCCCUUGAC